rnacentral:rRNA from 1 species
UACGUAGGGUGCGAGCGUUAAUCGGAAUUACUGGGCGUAAAGCGUGCGCAGGCGGUUGGUUAAGUCUGAUGUGAAAGCCCCGGGCUCAACCUGGGAAUGGCAGUGGAAACUAGGGGACUUGAAUCUGGCAGAGGGGGGUGGAAUUCCACGUGUAGCAGUGAAAUGCGCAGAUAUCAGGAGGAACACCAAUUGCGAAGGCAGCUCGCUGGGACGUUACUGACGCUGAUGCGCGAAAGCGUGGGGAGCGAACAGG